GACGUAGGGCGCGAGCGUUGUCCGGAUUUAUUGGGCGUAAAGAGCUCGUAGGCGGCUUGUCGCGUCGACUGUGAAAACCCGUGGCUCAACCAUGUGGUCUGCAGUCGAUACGGGCAGGCUAGAAUUCGGUAGGGGAGACUGGAAUUCCUGGUGUAGCGGUGGAAUGCGCAGAUAUCAGGAGGAACACCGAUGGCGAAGGCAGGUCUCUGGGCCACUACUGACGCUGAGAAGCGAAAGCAUGGGGAGCGAACAGG
rnacentral:rRNA from 1 species